AGCGGAUCCAGCCUCCCAGACGCUCGCUGCCCUCCACCAGGACCACCUGGGGACGAGACGGAGCCACUGCAGCACCGCCUACAGCCGUGGGAUACCUCAAACUCAGCAUUUCCUCCUCAUCCUUCAGACCGGUUUCUUCAUUGCAUCAAUCUCAGUGAAUAUGAAUACAUGCAGCAGGAGAGCUGCUGGCUUUUGAAACAGACAGAGACCACUGCAAGGAAGACAAACUUCUUCUCCGUCCACAGAAGGGAGAUUAGCAGAGAAGAUGUCUCGCUCCUGUAUGCUCAGCUCCUCAACUCUCAACUCUCUGCAACCAAGACCUACUUGAAUUUUCAACUAUAACGUGUCUCUCUCCCUCAGGAAGAGCGAAGGAGGGAGCAGAGAGAUGCAGACCGCGACUUAGGGCCCCAGAAAUUCCUUCUGACCACCUCCCCUACAUCCAGGAGAGCGAACACCUGGAGCCAGAGGGACACGUCACCUUCUGUGGAGGCAUAUCCCUCGAAUAACUGCUGCUUUCAGCCAGCAAUUCUGGCCCCACUGUGACUUCUAAACUGAGUCUCUUCUGCCACCUCCCUACCAUUCCCCGCUCAGUCCCCCAGCCCCGCAAUCGUCCAGUUUCUAUAAUUUGUGGAGAUAAACUUUAAAACCGGAAGCGGCUUCCACACGGAGCCUAUUCCUAAGGACACCUGAUUACCCCCAAAACUUCUGAGACGCAGUCGGGCGCGGAAGCACAACUGACCCGGAUAAGAGACUGAUAUUCCUCCUUGAGUCGCUGCACCCACAACUCCCGAUCUCGAGGUCCGGCGUUAGUCUUCAGCACCGGGAUCUCCGACACGACACGCCGGGUAGCCUCGUCCGCCAUCUUGGACGAGGGCGUAAGAG